rnacentral:tRNA from 1 species
GGUGGUAUAGUUUACAUGGUAGAGCACUUGUGUAGCAAGUGCAAGGUCCUGAGUUCAAACCUCAGUGCUGCCA